GAUGAUCUGCACGUAAACAACCCAUGCGUGUGAUGCUGCUGACGUAAUACACGCAUGCGUCGUGAAACUCUCCACAAUGGAGACAGAGGGGGACUCGGGGGAGAAGAAUUGUUGGAUAAAGUUGUUAUUUUAGCUUUUUUGCGCAAAAGUAUUCUUGUAUGGGGGGGCGCUCUUGCGCGAACACGAUGUGGACGCGUUUUUAGUGAGCUCCUCACAGAUACUGUGUGUUCUCAUGGCAGCUCCGGGCAGCAAACGAGGUGGCAAAGAGACGCGGGCUAACACGGCUAGCUCGGCCGACUCGAGAGGACUGCGAAGUCGAUGUUUUUAUAAGGCUGAAAAACACGUUUAUGCCUAUGGAAUGAUGUGACGUCAUCACCACCAGAGGGACCGUCUACAAAUUACAUGACACUUUUAUGGAAAGUUGCUAAAGACUCAUUUGAGCUGAAAAGCGCUGCUUGCUUUUAUUGAAAACGUUCCAGAGCAUGUUGAUAUAUUAUACAUUUAUAUAGUUAAUAUAUUUAAUAAACAAUUUGUGCCUCAAGUGUAUUUUUUGUUGUUGCUAUUACUGUGGUUUCUUCAAUGACACAUUAUUAAGUUCAAUAGCUUUUAAAAGGCUUGAUGGACUGGUCCUGGACACAUUGGAAAAUCUUAAC